GGAGGCUGUCCUGGAACUAGCUCUUGUAGACCAGGCUGGUCUUGAACUCUGAUCUGGCUGGCUAGGUGGGUGUUCCCUUCCUCCCUCACUGCUCCAUGUGUGUCCCUCCCAAAGCUGCGCGCUUGGUCAAAGAGGACGACCUUCCCCAAAUAGAGGAGGACCGGUCUUCGGUCAAGGGUCUACGAGUAGCUGCGCUCCCCUGCAAGAACCUCCAAACAAGCUCUCAUGGUUUUGGUUUUUCGAGACAGGGUUUCUCUGUAUUGUUUUGGAGGCUGUCCUGGAACUAGCUCUGUAGACCAGACUGGCCUCAAACUU
ensembl:misc_RNA 7SK 7SK RNA